GGAGCUCAUCUGUGAUCAGGAGCGGUUUCAAGUCAAGAAUCCCCCCGCAGCCUACAUCCAGAAGCUGAAGAGCUAUGUGGAUACUGGUGGGGUCAGCCGAAAGUUUAAGAGGCGAGUUCAGGAGUCCACACAGGUGCUACGGGAGCUGGAGACCUCCCUGAGGACCAACCACAUUGGGUGGGUGCAGGAGUUCCUCAAUGAAGAGAACCGUGGCCUGGAUGUGCUGCUCGAGUACCUGGCCUUUGCCCAGUGCUCUGUCACGUAUGACAUGGAGAGCACAGACAAUGGGGCUUCCAACUCAGAGAAAAACAAGCCCCUGGAGCAGUCUGUGGAAGACCUCAGCAAGGGUCCACCCUCCUCUGUGCCCAAAAGCCGCCACCUGACCAUCAAGUAUGUGGGCCACAAGGUGGGGUGGUGGGAGAACAGAGAAUUCAGCCCCCACACUGCUGCAUCUAGCCAGCCCACCCCGGGCCCUUGGGGUUGGCGAGAGGGGUAGCCACGCAUUAGGGGUCCGAGUAAGGGACUCAUACAGAGUUUGGGACACCAGUAUGUUAAGAAGCCAUCAGGGGUGGGGCUGGGUGCUGUGGCUCAUGCCUGUAAUCCCAGCACUUUGGGAGACUGAGGUGGGCAGAUCAUUUGAGGACAUGAGUUUGAGACCAGCCUGGCUAACAUGGUGAAACCCCAUCUCUACUAAAAUACAAAAAUUAGCUGGGUGUGGUGGCGCACGCCUGUAAUCCUAGCUACUCAGGAAGCUGAGGUGGGAGAAUCGCUGGAGCCCAGGGAAUGGAGGAUGCAGUGAGCUGAGAUUGCACCACUGCACUGCAGCCUGGGUGACAGAGUGAGACCCUGUCUCAAAAAAAAAAAAAAAAAAAAGAA
rnacentral:sRNA from 1 species